rnacentral:rRNA from 1 species
UACGUAGGGUGCAAGCGUUAAUCGGAAUUACUGGGCGUAAAGCGUGCGCAGGCGGUUUUGUAAGUCUGUCGUGAAAGCCCCCGGGCUCAACCUGGGAAUUGCGAUGGAGACUGCAAGGCUUGAAUCUGGCAGAGGGGGGUAGAAAUUCCACGUGUAGCAGGUGAAAUGCGUAGAGAUGUGGAGGAACACCGAUGGCGAAGGCAGCCCCUGGGUCAAGAUUGACGCUCGAUGCACGAAAGCGUGGGAGCAAACAGG